rnacentral:tRNA from 1 species
GAGAUAAUGGCUCAGAGGUUAAGAGCACUGGCUGUUCUUCUAGAGAUCUUGAGUUCAAUUCCCAGUGAUCACA